UGGAGCUUUGUGUUUUUUCCCCUCUCCUUAGUGCGUGUUCAUAAGUGGGAGCAUGGGAGGAAGGCGAGCGCUGCUGCGCACCAAGGUCAUGGGAGAAGAGAGAGUACAUGGAAGGAAAAAGGCAGAACACAGGAGCAGCUCUACUGACCACUCACCGAGAAAACUGGAACACCUCUUACCACACAAACGGUUGGUGAUGAUAAGGCAAGAUGUU
rnacentral:lncRNA from 1 species